rnacentral:tRNA from 1 species
ACUUAUCGAUUGUUCAGGCAAAGAAAGCGCCUCGUUCGCCCCCGAAAGAGAGGGUCUGUAGCUCAGUUGGUUAGAGCACCGUCUUGAUAAGGCGGGGGUCGUUGGUUCGAAUCCAACCAGACCCACCAAGUUUUUUUGGUUUGUUUGGGAAGCUCGAGACACGACAGGAAAAGGGGGCUGUAGCUCAGCUGGGAGAGCGGCGGCUUUGCAAGCCGUAGGUCGUCGGUUCGAUCCCGACCAGCUCCACCACUGCGGGUGCGCCACUGUGGUACCCCCCCAAGCGGUACAGGCACAAAGUAAAUCAUGAUGAUGCCCUGCCGGGCGCGUCGUUAUUGCUGACUUCUUGGGCAACAUUGAAGUGAUGUCGUUCGUAGGCGUUUGCUCUUUAAAAAUCUGGAAAAAGUGUAGUACGCGCC